UAAUGUUACUUAACUUAUAUCUUUGUAAGCCUGGAUAUUAGAGUUCUACUUGAGAAUUUCAGAGACAUGGUUGGUUUCCGUGUUUUAUCUGCCCUUAUAUUGGUCUUUGGAUUGGUGGCGACUUCUUACUCAGCUGAGAGUGAUAUGAACAGUGCAGAAGAACCAAGAAUCGCCAACAAUGCAGUGGAGCUGGCCAUGAGCGAUCCGGCGGGAAACAUGAAUCAGGACAAAGGUCAUCCAAGGAGCCUGUCUGCCAGUCAGAACUGGGGGCUCAUGGGCGAGAGGGAGGACUGAACAAUUACCACUUGGGACUGGGAUAGCCGUUGACGUCUGUUCCGUGAUAUCUGCCACUAAUUGCAACAACUUGGCAUUUUUGUUUUUCACAG